rnacentral:lncRNA from 1 species
UAUUCUUGAUCAACGGGUUGUCUGAGCAAUAUAAGUAUUUUUUUAGGAUGUAUAAAAUCUUCAUGUAUGAUGACUAUGUACAAUAUACAUAGCUUCCUUUAAAGAAAAUAUCUAGAUUUGGCCCACAUGUUAUUACUGUUUGAAUUGUUACUAGAGACGCAUAACAAAAUUUGAGGGAGUACUUGUUAUUACUGUUUGAAUCUGAGGGAGUACUUGUUAUUACUGCUUUAGGAUGUAUAAAAUAUCAAUGUACAAUCUGAGGGAGUACUUGUUAUUACUGUUUGAAUUGUUACUAGAGACGCAGAACAAAAUUUGAGGGAGUACUUGUUAUUACUGUUUGAAUCUGAGGGAGUACUUGUUAUUACUGCUUUAGGAUGUAUAAAAUAUCUAUGUACAAUCUGAGGGAGUACUUGUUAUUACUGUUUGAAUUGAUUUACACACUACUUCUCUAGCAUCCUAGAUAAUCCUAGAUGUUCAGUAAACUAAAAG